rnacentral:lncRNA from 1 species
CCCCCCCCCCCGCACUCCCACCCCUGGGGAGCAAAGACAAGCACAGAACUGGCUGGGAGGAUGGAGGAGACGCCGCCGUUACAGCAGUCAGGGGGCAAGAGGACGCAUCCAGGGAGGCCAGGCUGGAAAGGCACCGGCAAAGGAGCAGCCCAACCCCAGGCAGAGGUGGAGAUGCUGUUGUUAGAAGCCAGAGAAAGAGCCCAGUGCGAAGGCCCACAGGACACGGAUGGGGCAAAGGCUUCUACUAGGCCCACCGAAGCUGGCUGAGCAGCUCCCAGGCGAGCGGAGUCCGUGCACCGGUGUCCAGCCUGCGUAGGGCGGGAACUGCGGCCAGCGCAGUUGGCUUGUCCUGAGCCGCCUGCCCUUCUUCUCGGGCAUUUUCAGCUGCAAGGUGCUGAGCUCUCUGGGCAAGUAACAAGGCAUCUGUUCUCUAGCUGGUGAAUAGGAGAUAAAGUACAGAACUGGGAGUGUUGGUUUCGCCGUGGAAUUGGUGCCCUGGAAGCUGAUAUUAGAAGUCUUGAAUUGACUCAAUAUUGAAUUAAUAUUUGGCCUUAUGCCCUUCCUUCCUUCCCCCUGGAGUGAAAACACAGGUUGCACUUGCCAGGUUUCAAAUGGUGCAAAAAAAUAUAUAUAUAUAAAAAUACAUAGAUAAGCCUAGGUCACCUUCACCCAAUGGGGCCCUGCUGAAAGCUGCUUGGAAGCAGAGGGGAAGAGGGCGCGUCGUCAGCCCGAGUCACUUGGCUCAGGGACUGGGCUCCUGGAGAACAGGAGCAAGGGACCCACUCGGGCUUGUUCACCUCACUCGUCGUGAACACAGUGUGAGCCCGGGGACCGUGCUUCCCUCCGAGAGCUGGCCUCCCCUGGGGCUGCUUGCUGUCUCCCCAGUCCACUCUCUUCUCCUGAAGCUUAGCGGUCCAGCUGCACGCACGGAAAGCUGCGCGUGGCUGCUCUGACUCCACUGCACUGUCCUCACCUCAGCAGUGGGGAUGGAAAGGGAAACAGAGGAGUGCUCGCCUCUCCUUGAGCGCCUGCCCAGGAAAUGUGCCAGUUUUAUUACUUUAGGAAGAAGGAAAUGGAUUCCGCCCCACUCUGGCAAGUGGACUUAGCAGAUAUUGGGGGAAACUCAUAAAUAAAGAGCUUUUUUUUAACCCCAGGUCUAGGUAUUGAACCCAAGACCUCACUCAGCUACAUCCCUAUCCCCCUCUUUGUUUUGGUACGGGGGAUCAAACGAACUCACCUUGUGCUUGUGAGGCAGGCGUUGGAACCACCGAGCUAAAUCCCUGGCCCAUCCCUACCCCUUUCUACUUGAUUUUGAGAUAGCUUCUCAAUAAACUCUCUAGGCUUGUAGUCCUCUUGCCUCAGCCUCCCAUGUACCUGGUACUGAAUUACAGGUGUGUACCCCUGGGCCUACCGCUCUCUUUCUUUCCUUUCUUUCUUUUUGCUCUCUUGCUUUCUUUCUUCCCCCUCUUAUUAUUAGCACCUAUUAUUUUUACAAAGCAUUGGGUUUCACUUUGUAUAUUUUGAUCCUAUCCACCCCCAUUACCCUCUGUUAUGCCCCUCCCCCUCCCCCUUAUUCCCUUCCUCUUGUUAAUAAUAGUCUUCCUUCUGCUUUCAUUUCAUCUUUUUAAGAUUCCACAUAUGGGGAAAACAAAUCAUUUGUGUCUUUCUGAGGCUGGCUUAUUUCAGACAACACAAUGAUCUUCAGUUCUAUCCAUUUUCCUACAAAUAACAAAAUUUUGUUCUUCUUUACAGCUAAAUAAUACUCCACCAUAUAUAUAUAUAAAAUCUCCCUUUUGGUGCUGUCUCUCCAUUCUCUUGGUUGUUUCCUUUGCUGUGUAGAAACUUUUUAAUUUAACGUAGUAACCGCUUGUUGAUUCUGUUACUUCCUGUGUACCAGCGUGCUGCUCAGGAAGUCUGUGCCUGUGUCUGCAGCUGUAGGUGUUUCCCUCAUGUUUUCUUCCAGCAGUGUCAAAAUUUCAGGUCUUAGGGCCGGGGAUUUAGCUCAGUGGUUUCAUCGCCUGCUGCGCAAGCCCAAGGACCAGAGUUCAAUCCCCAGUACCAAAACAAAAAACAAACAAACAAACAAAAUUUCAGGUCUUAUACCGAGGUCUUUGAUGCAUUUUGAAUCGAUUUUUUUGUUUGGUUGGUUAUUUUUUUUUGUACUGGGCAUUGAACUUGGGACCUUGCGCUUGCGAGGCAGGCGCUGGAACCACUGAGCUAAAUCCCCGGCUGUUUGUCUUUCUGAGACAAGGUCUCUCUCUGUAGUUCAGGCUGGCCUCAAACUCACUGUAACCCAGGAUGGCUUUGAACUUAUGGUGAUUUUCCUGCCUCAGCCUCCCAGGUUCUGGGAUUACAGGGAUGCACCACUGCACCUGGCUUAAUGUUGAUUUUAUGUUCUGUGACUCUUUAAAAACAGCUGCUAGAUAUGAGCUUGGUGGCUUAACUCAAAAACUAAGUGGCCUAAGUAUUUGGUCAGGUUAGGCUUCAUCAUGCCCUAGUAACAGAUGAUCCCCAAAUGUCUGUUGUCAUGGGGACUUGUAAAAUACGGGCACAGAUCUAUUCUGGUGUGUAUGCCCCAUGCAGUGUGACUUUGCCACCCCUCCCAUCAAGUGGUAAAAUCUAUGUGGGUGCAGGGGCACACACCUGUAAUCCCAGCUCCUCAGGAGGCUGAGGCAGGAGGAAUGCAAGUUCAGGCCAGCCUGGGCAAUUUAUCAAGCUCCUGCCUCAAAAUAUGAGACAGAGACAGAGACAGAGAGAGAGAGAAAGAGAGAGAGGGAGGGAGGGAGAAAGAGAGAGGGGGGAGGAGGUGAGAGAGAGAGAGAGAGAGAGAGAGAGAGAGAAGAGAAGAGAGAGGGGAGAGAGAAACCAGCUUAGAGUUUUUUUCUAGCUGCAUUUCAUAGAAGUACCAGUUAACAUCCCAAAUUCCAAAACACUUUUACUCCAUGGAGUAAUCAACCCCAGAUUUAUUUUGUAAGUUGGGGAUUUACCUACUGGACUUUCCAUUAAAAUGUUCUAAACAUCUUUCUCAUCUUCAUAACUAAGUGCUGAUUUUAUUUUUAUCCCUAG